AUGGAAUGUUCUGUAUGUAUUUGUCAGGUCCAUCUGAAUGGAAGGUGUCAUUCAAAGCCACAGCUUCCUCGUUGAUUUUCUCUCCAGAUGAUUAAUCCAUUCAUGUCCUUUACAUUGAAGGAACUUAUCGAUGGGUAGGUACUACUGAAAUCGUGUUAAUUGGUUUCUGUUUGUUUUGUACUUUUCCCAUUUCUUUCUUCUUCUCUUGCUCUCUUUCCUUAUGACUGCUGACUGUCAUUAGGUUGGAUUCCUUUCUCUUUUUUUUUCUUAAGUAUCUAUUACAGGUUUUUGGUUUGCGGUUACCAUUAGGUUCUUAAGUAAUACUAUAAGUAUUUCAGUCCAUACUAACUUGACGCUUGCUGAAGUUCAAACAUAUUCUAAAACACUACAAUUUUACCCCUCCAUCUUUUAUGUAUACAAUGUCAUAUUUUGUAGUUUUUAUAUUUUGUGAAUUCCUUAACUACUUUUUGAUUACUACCAAUUCUACUAGUUUUGUCUUUUAGCCUUUAUACUGACUUACAACCUUUGCAAUUUCAUUGCUUUUACCGGUGAAGUUUUUUCCUUUCAUAACUUUCUUACCUCUAGUUAUGCUCUUUUAUUUUCCACUUAAUGAAAUCCCUUGAACAUUUCCUGUAAGGCGGGUUGACACGUAAUGAACUGCUUUAAUUUUUUUCUGGAAAACGCUUUCUCUCUCCUUCAACUCUAAAUGAUGACUUUGCCAGAGGAGUAUUCUUUCUGUGGUUUGUUUUCCUUUUACCUGUAUGAAUACAUCAUGCUGCUUCUUUCUGGCUUGCAAAGUUUCUUCUGAAAGUCAGCUGAUAGCUUUAUGGGGUUUCCUCUUGUAUGUAACUAGUUGCUUUGCUCUUGCUGCUUUUAAGAUUCUCUAUCAUUAGGUUUUGCGUUUAUAGCUAUGAUGGGUUUUGUUGUGGACUUUCCUUUAUCUUUUUUAGGACUCUCUAUGCUUUCUGGAUCUGGAUGUCCUCCAGUUAGGGGAGUUCCUUGUUAUUAUUUCUCCAUAUAAGUUGUUUGCCACUUUUUCUCUCUUGUCUCCUUCUGGGACCUCUUUAAUGCAAACAUUAGUAAGUUUGAUGUCCCGUGAUCCCUUAAUUUAUUCUUUUUUUUUUUUUCCUUUUUGCUGUUCAGCUUAUGUGUUUUCCAUAACCCCCUCUUCCAGAUCAUUGAUCUGUUGUUCUGCUUUUGCUAAUCUGUUGUUGAUUCCGUCUAAUGUACUUUCAUUUCAGGCAUUAUUUUUUAAUUCUGACUGGUUCCUUUUUAUAUUUUCUAUAUCAUUUUAAGUUUCUCACAGUUUAUCCACUCUUCCCCCAAGUUCAGUGAGCAUCUUUUUGACCACUGCUUUGGGUUUCUUUGUUUUAUUUUGUUUUGUUUUUGUUUUUGUUGUUGUUGUUGUUGUUGUUGUUUGACCACUGCUUUGAACUCUUUACUGGGUAAGUUGAUUUUCUCUAUUUCAUUUAAUUCUUUUCCUGAAUGUUUUGUCUUCUUCUCUUGAUUGGAAUUUAUUCCUCUGUCUCUUCAUUUACUUCCUUCUCUGUGUUGGUUUCUAAAAAUUACAUAAAACAUCUGCUUCUGCCAGUUUUGAAGAUGUGGUUGUGUGUAUGAACAUCCUCUGUGCAUGCCUGGCAGUUUUGGCUGGUUGCGAGUAGGAGUUGGCUGUGGAUCCCAGGGCACUCUAUGCCAGGGCUACUCUGGUGGCAUGGCUGGAGCUGAAGCAGGCACUGUCCAGGUGUUCCUAGAGCACUCUCCACUGGGGCUUCUCUGGCAGGAUGGCUUGAGCUGAAGCAGAGAUGGGCCAUGGCACUCUGAUGGGAUGGCUGGAGCUGAAGCAGAUGGAGGCCAGGGAAUCCUGAACUAUUCCCUGCUGGGGCCACCGUGGCAAGAUUCCUGCUGGGGAGGGUGUGGGGCAGGACACUGAAUGUUGAGAGCACCCAAGCAAUAUCACUGGAGUUGAAAUAGGCAUGGGCCAGGGUGCCAGGGGAUACUCCUCACCCAGGUGGCCCUGAUGAGAAGGUAAACCUGGUGUAGGCAUAAGCUGGGGCAUGGCUGGAGUCAAAGAGGACAUGGGUUUUGGGUGUCCUGGAGUGCUUGUGCCUUGGUCACCAUGAUGGGAUGGGUGGAGCUAGAGUGGGUGUAGGCUGGUGGGUUCCUGGUGUAUGUCAUUCCAGAGCAGCCUUGGUGAGAUUGCUGGAGCUGGGGGAGCCACAUCCAGGUGAUUUUUUGGGAAGACGGCUGGAUGUAUGGUGGGCUAACAGUCUGGAGCUUCCUGAGGUGGCCCAGAAGAGCACCUGGACAUCACUCCCAUCUGCACGAUCAUGGUCGUGGGGGAACAUAACGAUGAUGUUCACCAGUACCUUUGACCAUACUGAGUACAAGCAGAAGUCCACCAUUUGGCAGAUAACCUUUGGGGAGCCUGGGUAGCUCAGGUGGCUAACCGUCUGCCUUCA